rnacentral:rRNA from 1 species
GUGGGGAAUUUUGGACAAUGGGCGCAAGCCUGAUCCAGCCAUGCCGCGUGAGUGAAGAAGGCCUUCGGGUUGUCAAGCUCUUUCGGCCGGGAAGAAAUCGGCGACUCUAACAUAGUCGCUGGAUGACGGUACCGGACUAAGAAGCACCGGCUAACUACGUGCCAGCAGCCGCGGUAAUACGUAGGGUGCGAGCGUUAAUCGGAAUUACUGGGCGUAAAGCGUGCGCAGGCGGUUUUGUAAGACAGAUGUGAAAUCCCCGGGCUUAACCUGGGAACUGCGUUUGUGACUGCAAGGCUAGAGUACGGCAGAGGGGGGUGGAAUUCCUGGUGUAGCAGUGAAAUGCGUAGAUAUCAGGAGGAACACCGAUGGCGAAGGCAGCCCCCUGGGCCUGUACUGACGCUCAUGCACGAAAGCGUGGGGAGCAAACAGGAUUAGAAACCCGGGUAGUCC